GUGCCAGCCGCCGCGGUAAUACGGAAGGUCCGGGCGUUAUCCGGAUUUAUUGGGUUUAAAGGGAGCGCAGGCGGUCCUUUAAGCGUGACGUGAAAUGCAGGCGCCCAACGUCUGACGUGCGUCGCGAACUGGUGGACUUGAGUGCACUGGAGGUAUGCGGAAUUCGUGGUGUAGCGGUGAAAUGCUUAGAUAUCACGAAGAACCCCGAUUGCGAAGGCAGCAUGCCGUAGUGUUACUGACGCUCAUGCUCGAAAGCGCGGGUAUCGAACAGGAUUAGAUACCCUGGUAGUCCGCGCGGUAAACGAUGGAUGCCCGCUGUUGGGGUAUUAUAUUCCAGCGGCCAAGCGAAAGCAUUAAGCAUCCCACCUGGGGAGUACGCCGGCAACGGUGAAACUCAAAGGAAUUGACGGGGGCCCGCACAAGCGGAGGAACAUGUGGUUUAAUUCGAUGAUACGCGAGGAACCUUACCCGGGCUUGAACUGCAGCGGAAGGAUACAGAGAUGUUGACGCCCUUCGGGGCCGCUGCGGAGGUGCUGCAUGGUUGUCGUCAGCUCGUGCCGUGAGGUGUCGGCUUAAGUGCCAUAACGAGCGCAACCCCUGUCGUCAGUUGCCAUCAGGUAGAGCUGGGCACUCUGGCGAUACUGCCACCGUAAGUGCGAGGAAGGUGGGGAUGACGUCAAAUCAGCACGGCCCUUACGUCCGGGGCUACACACGUGUUACAAUGGCGCGCACAGCAAGCCGGUGCAUGGCGACAUGCAUCCAAUCCUGAAACCGCGCCGUAGUUCGGAUUGGGUCUGCAACCCGACCCCAUGAAGCUGGAUUCGCUAGUAAUCGCGCAUCAGCCAUGGGCGCGGUGAAUACGUUCCCGGGCCUUGUACACACCGCCCGU
rnacentral:rRNA from 1 species